AUGGUGAGCUCACCACUCCAUCCCAACAAGCACCUCCUCAAAACCCUCUACCAGCUGCUUGUGAACAACUUCCUCGCCGUCGUCGUCGUGCCGGCGACAGCCGUCGGCGUUCUCCGCAAAGCCGCGCAACUCGGCCCCGACGAGCUACUCACCCGGCUCCAUGGCUUGCGGCAGGUCCACGUGUUCCUGGCCGUCUUCCUCCCGCUCGCCUUGGCCACCCUCUGCCUCAUGCGGCGCCCUCGCAGCGUGUACCUCGUGGACUACGCUUGCUGCCGGCCGAGUGUUAGAAAUAAGCCAUGCGUUCAUGUGCGUGCGUGCGUUGUGUGUGCUUGUGGCAUGCGUGUGUGUCGCUGGGUAGGCGUGAGAGCCGGAGCUAGCUAG
rnacentral:rRNA from 1 species